UUUUAGGGAGACCACCCACUCAGGCUUACGGAAGUAAGGAUUGAGCUGGUCAACCAGGUCGUGCGAGAUUUGGGAUGCGGCUUUCAAACUAUUUGGGUUCACGAACUAAGAGAGUAUUGAGAUGCCAUUUAGAAGAGCAUGGGAUUGAUAGUACAGCACCUCAUUUAGUAGCACGAGUGAGUGAUUGUGAGUGAAUACUAAAGAGAAUGCUGGGUUGUAAUCCAGUAAGGACCU
rnacentral:misc_RNA from 1 species